CGGCUGCCUUCACGUGAAGUCGGAAUUGCGACAAUGUCACGUUCAAGUGCUUCGUUGUCGCAACGGAUUGCAGAACACCAGGCUGGGACUGGGACACUCCGGUCGAGACUAUUAUUUGAAAACCCCAGACGGUCGGUGUCGAUGUGGAGACGUGGAAUCAGUCCAGUGGUCGUUGAAUGUGAUAAAUACAGAAGUGAAAGACAACAGUUAGUCAGGAGUCGUCAGAUCUGGGCUUUUCAUCUUUCUACUUCAAGGCAAUAUUUUAAUAUGGAACUAAUUGUCAACUUGCUGACAGAGCGGUCCUGAGGUUUCUACACCUGUCUAAAAGAAGAUAGACUAAGUAGCCAUUCUUAGACUGUGGAGGGCAGCAUUACGCUGUAAAGUGUUCAACCUGCUGGAAACUCGUUGGAAGAAGAAGAAGAAGAAUUGGACAAACAAAAUGGCGAACUGGCUAAUUGUUUACACGUCUUUGGUAAGCUUCACUUCGUAGACAAUCCAACACUUCUUUAUGGACCUGGAGCAGCGUGAGGACACGGGAACAUGACACACGGAGAGAGUUAUCCAUGCAAAUACACGCUAAUGAAGAGUUCGCUCUUUCUCUGUCUCUGCGACUCCGGCUCCUCUGAGAGCAUCUUGGCGGGAGGACAGGAGCUCACAACACUGCUCAUUUGCACCGACAGCUGAGUCCUGGGGGAUCAGAGAGGAGGCGUCAGUGCCGAAGAGCUCCCACACAGAUCUGAGUGGUCUGCUCGGCCCGAGCUCCACUCAGCUGUCUCGUCUCGUCCUUGGGCCGAUGUGACGGGCUUCAUUGACCCCUCAACGUUAAAGCUGUCUCAGCUGCCAAUAUCUGGUCUCGUAAUUUAUUUUUAAUUUGCGCGGUGAAGCGUACAACCAACCAACCAACCAACCAACCAAACAACCGACCAACCAACCAACCGACCG